rnacentral:tRNA from 1 species
GGGGAUAUAGCUCAGUUGGUAGAGUGCUUGCCUUGCAAGCACAAGGCCCUGGGUUCAAUCCCCAGCACCG